GUUUUGUAGAGGGAGUCAGGAGUUUAGUAAAGAGGUGACAGGUUUUUGUUGAGGGGGCAUUGUUUUUGUUGAGGGGGCAGGGGUUUUGUAGAGGGGGAAGGGAUUUUGUAAAGGAGUGACAAGGGAUUGUGUAAAGGGGUGACAAGGGGUUAAGUAGAGGGAGGACAUACGUUUAGUAAAGGGGGCAGGGGUUUUGUAAAGGGGUGACAGGUUUAGUAAAGAGGUGACAGGGUUUUUGUAGAGGGGGCAGGUGUUUUGUAGUGGGGGCAGGGACUUAGUAAAGGGGUGACAGUAGUUUAGUGGAGGGGUAACAAGGGUUUUGUAGAGGGGGCGCAAGGGUUUUGUAGAGGGGGCAGGGAUUUAGUACAGGGGUGACAGUGGUUUAGUAAAGGGAUAACAAGGGGUUUUGUAGAGGGGCAGGGGUUUAGUAAAGG